rnacentral:misc_RNA from 1 species
AAGUCGUAACAAGGUUUCCGUAGGUGAACCUGCGGAAGGAUCAUUAUUGAAUAAACUUGGUUAGGUUGCUGCUGGCUCCUUGGAGCAUGUGCACACCUAGCACCAUUUUUUACCACCUGUGCACCCUUUGUAGACCUGGAUACCUCUCGAGGAAACUCGGUUUGAGGACUGCUGUGCGAAAGCCAGCUCUCCUUGCAUUUUCCGGUCUAUGUCUUUAUAUACCCCAUAAGAAUGUAACAGAAUGUUAUUAACUGGCCUUUGUGCCUUUAAUCAAAUACAA